rnacentral:rRNA from 1 species
UACGAGGGGUGCAAGCGUUGCUCGGAAUUAUUGGGCGUAAAGGGCGUGUAGGCGGUUAGUUAAGUCUGGCGUGAAAGCUCUCGGCUAAACCGGGAGAGGUCGUUGGAUACUGGCUGACUAGAGGACGGUAGAGGCGUGUGGAAUUCCGGGUGUAGUGGUGAAAUGCGUAGAGAUCCGGAGGAACACCAGUGGCGAAGGCGACACGCUGGGCCGUACCUGACGCUAAAGCGCGACAGCAUGGGGAGCAAACGGG